rnacentral:rRNA from 1 species
UACGUAGGCAGCGAGCGUUGUUCGGAGUUACUGGGCGUAAAGAGUGCGUAGGCGGUUUUCUAAGUUUGGUGUGAAAUCUCCCGGCUCAACUGGGAGGGUGCGCCGAAGACUGGAAGGCUUGAGUAUGGGAGAGGUAAGCGGAAUUCCUGGUGUAGCGGUGAAAUGCGUAGAUAUCAGGAGGAACACCUGCGGUGUAGACGGCUUACUGGACCAUAACUGACGCUGAGGCACGAAGGCCAGGGGAGCAAACGGG